CAGUUCAAAACAACAGAACCAGGAAGGCCAAAGCCAAGAGAAGCUCAUGAAAGUUCCUGGUCUAAGACUGAUAAGCCAGCUCGGCCUCCACCCCCUUCCAUGGUAGAUGCUGAAAGCUCAGACUACACACAUUUCACAAGCCAGCAUAAUUCUACUCGGCCAUUUUCCAAACAUGAAUCGUCUCAUAAAGGUCACCGUUCCAAGCAGUAAAGACCAAGAAUCAGCCUUGAAUCUGACUCCCUGAAGUCAAUGUUACUGGAUUAUAUCCAAUGCAUUCCUCCUUUUAUGUUGUUUUUUUUUCUGCUAAGUUUGCAUCCCCAGAACUGCACCCUCUCAUCUCCCUUCUGGCCAUUCAAAGUACUUGUUCAUUUCAAAGAUUCACCUUUUCCCAGAUCACUCGGGCAGUAUAAUAAUCUCUAGCG